AAUUAAUAUAGUCCAACUUAUCUAACAUUAUAGAAGGUACAUACUGUAUAACAUCAGAUAUUCAGAUGACCACGUAUAAAAUAAGCAUGUAGAAGUAUGAAAAUAAUAUUGAUAAUAAUCAUACAUACAGUAACAUAUUUUCAAUAUAACCUUUUCAUAUGGGAAAAAGGCAGACAACUGCGUCAGCUCCAGCGACCCGAGCUUAUGUAAUAACCAUAAAAAAAAACUUUAGUUGGACAUAACAUAAUUAUGAGAAGCACCAAAAACCAGAAGAAAAGUGAAGAUAAUUAAGAAAAAUAUAAACUUGAUAUGGUACCGUACCACCUCUAAGAAAGAAAUAUGAAAAUCUACAAUUCUCUUCAACAGACUAUGAAGCCUUUACUUAAGUUUCUUGAGUUCGGUUGUUUCUCAUCAUCAACGACAACCAGUACUAAGAAUGCAAGCACAGACAGAGAUAUCAAGAUAAAGAUGACUACUAGAAAGAUUGCAAGGAACAUCAGAGGAAUAAGGUCAUUGGGUCGAAUAAAAAAGCCACCAAAGCCACCAGUUAGUACGGGAAGAGGUGGACAAAUUCACUCUACUUGAUCAUUCUAUAAUAGAUCUUCUUUCUUCCUCCUGUGUAGUUAUAUUUUGGCUGUUUGCAGUUUUUUGGUGGUUUGUGUGGAGCAGAUGAUUAAGUUAAUAAUGUUGAUAACUGUGUUUUUCUUUUACUGUCUAAGAUAUGCAAGGAGCCACGUGAGUAUUUAGCCUUGAA